rnacentral:rRNA from 1 species
ACGAGAGUUGGUAUCCGUACGGCGUACAGGACGAACGGCUGGCGGCGUGCUUAACUACAUAGCAAGUGACGGAAGGUGACCUCGGAAAGAGAUUUACGGUCAAAUGGAAGAGGUUACGUUAGUGGCGGACGGGUGAGUAACGCGUGAGGAACCUGCCUUUCAGAGGGGGACAACAGUUGGAAACGACUGCUAAUACCGCAUAACAUAUGUUUGUCGCAUGGCAGAUAUAUCAAAGAUUUAUCGCUGAGAGAUGGCCUCGCGUCUGAUUAGCUGGUUGUAGGGUAACGGCCUACCAAGGCGACGAUCAGUAGCCGGAUUGAGAGGUUGGCCGGCCACAUUGGGACUGAGAUACGGCCCAGACUCCUACGGGAGGCAGCAGUGGGGAAUAUUGGGCAAUGGGCGCAAGCCUGACCCAGCAACGCCGCGUGAAGGAAGAAGGCUUUCGGGUUGUAAACUUCUUUUAAGAGGGAAGAGCAGAAGGCGGUACCUCUUGAAUAAGCUCCGGCUAACUACGUG